rnacentral:rRNA from 1 species
UUAAUCAAGAACGAAAGUUAGAGGUUCGAAGGCGAUCAGAUACCGCCUAGUUCUAACCAUAAACGAUGCUGACUAGCGAUCCGCCGGCGUUAUUCCCAUGACUCGGCGGCAGCUUCCGGGAACCAAAGUACUUUGAGUUCCGGGGGAAGGUAUGGUUGCAAAGACUGAAACUUAAAGGAAUUGACGGAAGGGCACCACCAGGAGUGGAGCCUGCGGCUUAAUUUGACUCAACACGGGGAACCUCACCAGGCCCGGACACCGGAAGGAUUGACAGAUUGAGAGCUCUUUCUUGAUUCGGUGGGUGGUGGUGCAUGGCCGUUCUUAGUUGGUGGAGCGAUUUGUCUGGUUAAUUCCGAUAACGAACGAGACUCUAGACCUGACUAACUAGUCGACGGAUCUCAUACCAUAUGUGUCCGUCGCUAUUCUUC